UUACAACCCGAGACUUAGACUUAAAGGACCCCUAACCUAAGGAGACGACCUAGACCUAUCAGUCAUUUUCUGAUUUUAGACCCUUAAGAUCAGCCGCAACAGACUUAGAAAACUCUAGAGAUCAGCAGCUAGAAGAGUGGAGCUAACACAAAAGAGAGCAAUGGCGGAGCUCUCUUGAAAAGGACCCCCCUAUCGACUCAUCUUCUUCUUCAGAGAAGAAGAGCCAAUUUCCAUGGCUUCUUCUUAACCAAACCAAAGACCCCUGUUCUCUUCAAACACACAAGCAGCCAUUCCCCCACGUCUUCAAAUCCCUCUCUCUAUCGUUUUUUUUGUCUCACCUCCAUCGCUGGCGAGAUUCGCCGGAAACCGGCGAAAACUAACCCCAUAACCAGUCAGUUUUCCAUUCGAUUCUCUGAGCUUUAGAACUAUUUUUUACGCAAAGCUUCAGUUUAUUCUCAUAUCGGAACUCAUGGAGACGAACUGCUCGAUUUUGUUUUGAAGUCGAGCGUUCCAGUCCAAAGUCAAAGAAUCGAGUCGAGGUGUCCGUUGUAGCCGAGUUCGAAGUACUUUGGUCGAGGUUCAUUGAGAUUCCAGCGAGGCAUUUCGUUUUUCUGUUCGAGGUUCUCAUUUGCUUGCCGAUUCGAGAAUAGUUGCAGUUGUAGAGGUCCAAUCUCUUAUCUUGUUUGCUUUGUUGGUGUAGUGUUCUAUAAAAAUGAUAUGUAUUAAUAUGGCUCUUGCUUGGAUCUGUUCUCCUGUUGUUUUAGCAUAAUUUUUCUUAUUUGUUAAUUCUUACCAUUAAUUUUAUUGGUUCUGGUUGUUGAGUGAAAAUAGCCCAACCGAACUGGUGAAAUCUCUAACUGACAAGUAGCUAAUGCAGUCGUACCUUAGUUCAAGAUAAUUUUGUUAGUAAAUCCCUUUUGUAUAAGAUGUUGUCCUUAAGAAACCCAUUAGAAAGAGGGCAAGUUGAUUGAAGAAUCUUGAUUUAAUUAAUACAACUUCCUCUUCUAUUUUCCUGCACUUGAAAAUGACCGAAGAAGUAAACUUGAAAAAUGAGGAUAAGCGAUGGUCACAGUAAUGCAUUUGGUCUUAAAGUUUCGUAUUGUAAAAAAAAAUUUCCUUUAUCUGAUAUUUUAUCAAGUUUAGUUAGUUCCUAGCUUUAGUUUUAUCAUUUGGUCGAAACAUUUUCUAAUGUUGGCUUAACUGUUUUAUAAAAUUUUUAUCAAUCCUUCAAUAAUCCUCUUCCUCUAUUGACUUGUAAUUAGUACUAGAUAAAAUGCUCCCAUAACUCUUGGGUCUCUCAAUAAUCUUGGCUUAGGAAAUACAUAACUCAUAAAUCGAUAGUAUGCUUUAGGCACGUAUAAAUAAAUAAUUAUCGUGAUUGUGUACACGUUCUUGGGACAUAAUUAUGAUCUAAAAAAUAAAAUCGGGGUAUGCGUUCGUACAACUUCGGCUAAACUUUCAUAAUAUUAAUAAAGCGUUAUUAAUUGUGGACACGUUCGUGUGACAUGAUUUUUGACGUGCAAACAAAUGGGUACAUGUGCGCGUGACCUAUUUUAAGAUAACUUCUUAAUUAAAAGAGACAAAUGCACAUAGUUUCUAAAAUGAGUAAUUAGACAAUUUGAUUAAGCCAAGUAUGAUCAAAGCGACCGUGCUAAAACCACGGAAUUCGGGAACGCCUAACACCUUUUCCCGGGUUAGCAGAAUUUCUUACUCGGAUUUCUGUGUUCGCAGAUCAUAAAUAGAGUCAAACUUCCUCGAUUCGGGAUUUUAAACCGGUGACUUGGGACACCAUAAAUUAUCCCAAGUGGAGACUCUGAAUUUUAACUAAAAUAAUCAUGUUUCGAUUGUUACUUUAACUGGAAAAACUCCCUUAUACCUCCUUCUCGGGUAGAAAAAAGAGGUGUUGCAAUGACAGCAUCACCUUUUUUGGGAAAUGUACUGGUAGUACCACCAUGGGGGUCCCACUAUCAGGUCACAUGAACGUUGUUGUCGCACAAAGUUCAGGAGGUAUCGAGACCCCGAAGGUUUUCCUGCUAUCAUAAGCAUUGGCCCCAAAGGAGCUGUCAACCUAAUUUCGAGACAGAAUCUGAUCUCGGGAGCCCUAAUUGCCUUGAGUACGAGCUCCAAACAGCUAACAUCGAAAUUCAAAAGCUAACUAUACAAGAACGAUGGAAUAUAAAAAAUGAAAAAACUUGAAGCAGAAGGAUUCUCUUGCAUUGCCAAAGAUAUAUUUGCAUGGGGCGUCUUUAUAAGACUCGUUUCCCCGAGAAUACACAAAAAGAAAAAGGAAAGAAGAUGCAGGCAUACUCUUCGUCGCCACUACCCUCCGAACCAUCUUCGAGACUUUCGUCCAAAGCAACUAAAAGCUCCCAGUUUUCCUCCGAUUCUCGGGCCUUCUCGACCUCAGUUGAGACAUCGACAUCUUUGACACUGGCUUCCUCUAAGGCUUGCCUCCUCGCCUUUAUGUCAGCAUGACCGAUAGCCCGAAUUAGGUUUUUCUUGGCCUUCUCUGAUAUAUUUUGGGCUAUCUGAUUCGUGGUAGCAGCGUCCUUCAGAUAAGUGGCAACUUUUCCUUCGACCUCGGACUUGGCCACGGAUUCACGACAAUCUCUUUUCGAGCAUUUUGGAGAAGACCCUGAGUCGACAUAAAUUUCGAGGUCACAGCCUCAUUUUGUUUCCUCAGCUCGAGGAUCUCCCCAUUCUUCUACCCGAUCUUUAAAAGAAAAAGUAAGUCAGCAAACCUUGAAAUUGUGGGAACAACGAACGGGUUUACGAGUAAUGAAUUACAUGUUCCACAAAGCCAGCCUUUUCUCUAAGUACUCCCUCCAAACUCGUCCGAAGUUCGCCCAACUCUUUCUCCUUUCGGGCAGAAGAGGCCUCCGACUCCUGCAGUCCCGAAGUAAGAUUCUCGAGCUCCUUUUCACCGCAUGAAAUCUCCUCUCGGAGCCUAGAGAGGGCAUGGUCAUACAUCUCUUAGACUACGGCAAAACAGAAGAGUUAGACAAACGAGGAACAAUGCUUGAAGACUAAGGAAAUAUACAUGAACAACUAUCACCUGCCGCUGGAACCUCUCCGCUGCCUUGAUGGAGCUGGAGGUGUCAAGAUCGAUAUCCUCACUGACAUCAUCAAUAUCAUUGAGAAUGUUGCCAAGCGCACCUCCUCCCUUGAGAGGAACCCCCGUGUCGGCAGCAUUCGGGUCCUGAGCGUCCCUUAACUCCCCGGAGGAGAACUAAGGGCCCAAAUUAAGGCCACCCAGGGAAUCGAUGUCGCCAAGGAGCAACUUCUACCCUCAAAAUUUUCGGGCCUAGACCCUUCGAAACCUUCAGCAAUAGUCUCCGUGGCGGAGGUUACACUGCAACCAGACGAAGUUAUGGGGGCCGCACCCACACCCUUUUUGAGGCCCUCCAAGGCAAGGACUCGAGCCAAAUCAGUCGACCCCAACUCAGCACCUUUCGGCUCGGAUAUUUGGGGAGCUCCCGUGCUCGACUUUCUCCUUUGUACCAAAGGGUCGUCAUCUUCAUCAUCAUCCUCUUCAUUGGAGCCCACUUUAGAGGCUGAAGACGAGAUCUCAGCAUCGGUCUAAGAUCUACUGGGUUUUGCUUUCUUUGCCAUCGGGGAUUUAGCGGCCGAACUUUUCUCCCUUUUCUUGCCUUUGUUAGGCCUCGGGGCCCCUUCCUCACCAUCAGGAGGCGGUCUCAUCCGUACUCCGUCACCAAAGCCUACGCAAGCAUAGUGACCGAAGUCUCUUAGCAUAAAAUAUAUGGGAAUGAAGUGAAAAAACAUAGUGAAAGCGGCAAGAGGGAUCCUACCAUAGUUCUUGGCCACCCACCACGUUUUGGCCAGGUCGGGCCAAGAUCGAACGAGAUACGGGAACGAAGUAUCCAACUGCUUGAUCCAUCAUGUCAGAUCCUGAACCAUUUCAGGGUAGCAAGCGGUAGCUACAAAAACCAAGGGGAAACCAUUUUUCGGAAGAGAGAAGAAGAUCACAGAGCAUAUUCGAAGGAAAAGUACUUACGUUGUGUAUUCCACUUCUCCGGGAAUAGCAUUCUCCCGGUCGGAAUGAUGUCCGAGGUCCUCACUCGGAUGAACUUACUCAUCCACCCUCGAUCAUUGUCCUCAUCGGUGCUCGAGAAAAAUGAUUUUUUAGACUGGUGAUGAAGCUGAAUCAAACCUCGAUAAAAUCGAGGGCUAUACAAUCUGAUCAGAUGGCCGAGGGUAAAGGUCUCACCCUCGACCCCAUCGGAGAAGUGGCAGAGCAUGUGAACUAACCUCUAGAAAGACGGAUAGAUUUGAUCAAGCGUCACUUGGAACUUGUCAUAGAAAUCAAGAAUAACAGGAUCUAUCUUUGAGGAAAAAGGGUUAGAAGAAUUGACCGGACUUAGAGUGAACGGGUAAGUAUAUACAUAAAGGAAACCAGCCUUAUGAUCUGUUAUGCUCUCAUCAGAACGGGGUAUCUCAACCAGCACUGCCUUUCCCCAAUGCUAGUCUUUCUUCACUUUCUUCACAUCGGUCACUACACCAAUAUACCGGGACACGUGUUCGCACCGACACAGUGUAGAUGAAGGCUUGUCGAUGGAAAAAUCCUUCGUUGUGUCGAACCCGACGGGAGUACAUUAUUCAAUGAUGGGUAUCACUUUGGGCUUUCCUUUGGACGCUCGGGAUGAAGAGGCAGCCUCGUCUUUUAGAGGAACUAUAUUGGAUGUUCUAGCCAUGAUAGUGGCAAAACGUUUUUGAGAAAGUGGGCAAGGGAUCAAGAACGGAGGAAGAAAGAGAGCGAAAGGGAAUGGCUUUAGCCCUGGAAAUUUGAAGAUAUUGUGAAAGUAUGGAUUAUCAAAUGGUUGAUGCCUUUACAAGAACCGUGUGGGUAGCGGAAAAGACGAACCAAUAGCGGUUCGUGGAAUUCUCGAUAGUCGUAUUUGAUGACGACCCUUGUGCGGCUUUUUGAAGUACGACAUUUAAUGCUCUGAUGGACUGACAUCAUAGCGAUGAUUCUUACGGAGUGGGGGAUCAUGAUCAUUUCCUAUCACUUUGUUCUAGGAAACGCGGGGACUAUUUGUAUACAGUGGACAUCAACGGCUCGAUUUCAUGGUAUCUCGAGGGUUUCCAGUGAUUGACUCCGAGAAUUCUCGACAGUUCCAUUUUGAGACAGUAUGAGUAAUGAUCGGCCUUGAGGCAAUGGAAUUAACACUCUCGGCAUAUCAGGGUGAAGUUCCCAAGGCACAUACAUAUAGCUGGCUAGGUCUAGUGGUCUAGUCAGAAAAGUGAAUCAAUGCAUUAAAUGGUCGUACCAGCCCAUAUCUUUGUAAUUAAUGUAUUUGUACUAUGUUGGGAUUUCCCCUCUUAUAUAAAGGGUAUCCUUGUCUUUUUGUAAACAUCUGUUGCUCCAUACUAAAUAUACAAGAACAUUCUCUCUUCUCUCUAACAUAUUCUCUUGAUCUUAUUACUUCAUUUAUUGCUCGUAUUUAUUGUGAUUCUAUUCAUUGUUCAUUAUUUAUUGCUUAUUAUCGGCCAUAAAGAGCCACCCUUGAUCUAUUUGUAACUGUUAUUCGCCAUUGACCGCCUUCGACAGCUCCUAGCCGAGCUUUAGACUCUACCUCGAGGCCCUCGAAUAGGCAAGCUCGAGGCCCCAACUGAAAGCGAUUCGGUUUGAUUAACACCUCGUUCUUAAGCUCUUAUCUCGUUUCUAAGUCUUUCACAUAGCAUCUACUACCUAAAAACUAGCAUAAAAAUAGAUCAUGUAUUUUUAGAACCACAAAAUUAAAUUUAAUUGUUAUUACCAUUUUCACGGUAAACAGUCAUCACAGGCAUGGACUGGUUGGCCUCUUGCUAUGCUAGAGUGGAUUGUUGGAAGAAGGUUAUUCGUUUUAACUUUCCGGGAGAACCUACUAUCGAAUGGAAGGGCGAUGUUGCAUCGCCAAAAGGGAACUUUAUGUUUUACCUUAUGGCCUUUAAGAUGAUCACGAAAGGAUGUUUUCAUCAUUUGGUGUGUGUGCAAGAUGCGAAAGCAAAGACUCCCACCCUUUAGUCAGUAUUGGUCGCAAGUGAGUUUCUCUGUACUCCUUGACAAACUCCCGGGUAUUCCACCUGAGAGGGAGAUUGAGUUUUCUCCUGACGCACCACCCGAUAUCGAUUCCCUUGUACAGGAUGGCUCCCGUCAAAUUGAGGGGAUUAAAGGAUCAGCUAAAGGACCUUCUUGACAAGGGAUUUAUCCGACCCAGUACCUCUACAUGGGGAGCCCCAAUGUUAUUUAUUCUAAAGAAAGAUGGCUCGUUAAGGAUGUGUAUUUAUUAUCGACGGCUGAAUAAGGUAACCAUCUAGAACAAGUAUAUGCUUCCAAGAAUCGAUGAUUUGUUUGAUAAAUUGCAAGAUGAUAAGUAUUUCUCGAAUAUUGAUCUCAAAUCUUAGUACAAUCAGUUAAAGAUCAAGGAAUAAGAUGUUCUAAAGAUAGACUUUUGGACCCAAUACGGCCAUUACGACUUUUUUGUUAUGUCUUUUGGCCUAACCAAUGCACCAGCGGUCUUUAUGGAUCUAAUGAAUCGAGUAUUCAGGCUGUAUCUAUAUAUUUUUAUAAUCGUGUUCAUUGAUGAUAUCCGGAUGUACUCUCGAUCCAAGCCAGAUCACACAGAACAUUUGCAGAUGGUUUUACGCACACUCUAGGAUCACAAGUUGUACGCCAAGUUUUCCAAGUGCGAGUUCUGUUUGAGAUCAGUUGUUACACCAUGCGCAUCCCAAAGUGAUGUGUAAUGAAUAUGAGACAUGUUAAUCAUGAUUUAUAUGAGUUUAAUGUCAUAAUAUGACUGUAUAUGAUGUUUGGAUAUAAAAUAUAAAGUUUGGGGAAAAUCGGAUUGCGGAAAAACCGACUAAGGAUUUGCCUUGUAACGGAGCUUUUUGAGAAAUAAAUUUAGUGUUUUAUAUGAGGUCUUUUUGGGAUAUAUUAUAUACCAAAUUGAAGAUCUUUGAAUGUAGUUCCUAGCGCACUUAACUGUUCGUUUAUAUGAUAUCUGGAUAAAAAGAUAUAAGCAUCAAAAUUUUAUAUCUAGGUUUUAGCUCGUCUCUCUCAUCACAUUUACAUAGAUCCUGACCAUAGAACACCAUAAAAACCUAUCCUUAAGCUCUCCAAAGGGUUUCAAAAAAUACUAACAUCCAGGGUACGAAAUCGAGAAGUGAUAACAUCAGAACAAUCCCUACGACGUAAGUAUCCAGGGUACAAGGUACUUUAUAGUUAAGAAAUGUCUAAUUUCUGUAAUUAAGUGUUUAAAUAUCAAGGAAGUUUUAUAAAUUGGUUUCCUAAUAGUUCGAACUCACGGGAUGGUGAUUGAAAGUUGUGAGUUUGAUUUUUUUUCCACUUUUAGUGGACUGUUUUGUAGUCCAUUUGUAUUGGCCUAUUUUGCUGCUGAUUUAUGGCGUUUGGAAGGAUAAAAAGGAGUGGAGAAACGCCACAUGUGGUAGGGUGUUAGGUUGGUCACUCGUCGUUGCAGCUUCAGCCUAAUCGAUAACUUGUUGAUUGGGUGUGUUAUCGUAUAUUUGGGGUUUUUAUUGUAUUGAAGGUCCCGAAUUGUAAUUAGAUUGGUUUUGAGUUGCUGAUUGUAUUGUGUUUGUACCUCACCUAUAGUAGGUUUGAGGGAGCAGUAAAAUCAGGGAAAAUCUUCCCAUUUUAUUUUAGAAUCUUUGAGAUACGUAAUAUACUAGAGACAUCUAAGUCGUACAUGUAUUUCCUUGUUAUAGGGUUGGCGCGCUAGUUAUCAUAAUCUUGUUGUGGAGCUGCAUUGACGACUUGAGGUAUGUUAAGUCUAUUCCUCCUUUCCUUUUGGUAUGAUCCAUAUGAUACAAUGAAACGAGCAAGCAUGCAACUUUCACAAAUGAUUCUAUUCUUAGAAGUACUAGGGUUGCCUAUGUUCUGGAUUCCCCAUAUGUCCUACUAUCAUAUCGUCUGUUUAUGGGUCUCAUGAUGUUCCGAGAGAUCUUAUUGACUUACUUCAUUAUGCAUUGCAUCCAUUUAUACAUGUAUAUUUACCCAUGACCAGAUGACGUUAUAUACGCAAAUAGUAUAUGUAUAUGGGGUAUGGGGAAAGGUUAUGGUGUUACAUACGCACCACCACCUGAUCAGCUGGUAUACGUUUAUGAUUUCGCCCACAGAGGCUGAGAUGAUAUGAUGGGAUUCCCUCAGAGGCUUGAUGAUAUUAUCUACACAUAUACCUAUUUAUGACAUGACAUUUAUAUGCAUAUGUAUGACAUUAUAAAUGUUUCAUGAUUCACAGAGUUAUUCAGACUUACAGGUUGAGUCAUUUACUCCAUGUUUCUUUCAUGUCUUUUAUAUACUGAUUUUUAUGCCUUACAUACUUGGUACAUUAUUCGUACUAACGCCCCUAUUACCUAGGGGCCUGCGUUUCAUGCCCGUAGAUGCAGGUAGACAGGUUGACGGUCCACCUUCUUAGGAUCCUUGCUCAGCGAGAACUGGUGUGCUCCAUUUGAUCUAGAGCUGCUAUUGAGUUUUGGUACGAUACGUUUGUAUACAUAUGGGUAUGACAGGACCCACUCCCAUUCUUUAUACAGUGUACACUCUAUUAGAGGUCUGUAAAUAGUCAUGUGUAGUUAGAUAGUAUGUGUCCUUCUCGGCUCGCCCUACCGUAUUCCGUAUAUAUAUAUAUAUAUAUGUAUAUAUGUCUUUUGGGCAUGUUUUUCCGCGUCUGUUAUUCACAUGAUUCAGUAUUUUAUUGCCAAAUGUUAUGCUUGAACUACACUUAUUUCAUGUUUAUCUAAGACGUAUGCUUAGGGGUGUUCGAUAGGUAGAACUCGGGCACUCGUCAUGCCCAAUCGGUUUGAGUCGUGACAUGGGUGACCUUUCUUGGGAAAAUAGUAUCCAGCGAAGGUAUCAAGGUUGAUAGCCAAAAGAUUGAAGCGGUUAAGAGUUGGCCAAGGCCUAUAACUCUGACCGAAGUGCACAGCUUCUUGGGCUUGGCCGGUUAUUAUCGAAGGUUUGUGCAAACUUUCUCAUAUAUAGCUGCUCCAUUAAUAAAGUUUAAGCACGAGACAUCAAGGAACUGAUGUUUGCGAGAAGAGCUUCCAAUAGUUGAAGGACAGUUUAACCUCGGCACCUGUUCUAACGCUCUCUGAAGGACCCGAGGAGUACGUGGUAUAUAGUGAUGCCUCUAGAGUAGGAUUGGGAAAUGUUCUAAUGCAACACAGGAAAGUUGUCGCUUAUGCUUCGAGAAAACUAAGGAAACACAAGCAGAAUUACCCAACCCUUGACUUGGAGCUAGAAGCUGUUAUAUUUGUCUUGAAAUAUGGCGUCACUACUUGUAUGGAGUUCAUGUUGAUAUAUUCACCGACCAUAAGAGCUUGCAGUACAAAUUCAAGCAAAAAGAAUUAAAUCUGAGGCAGCGAAGGUGGCUUGAACUGUUAAAGGAAUAUGAUGCUGACAUUUUAUACCAUCUUGGAAAAGCAAAUGUCGUAGUUGAUACACUGAGUCAAAAGUCCAUGGGCAAUCUACGACAUGUGGAAAAUCAAAAGUUGGAGAUGAUUAAAUACUUAUACCAGCUAGCAAAUCUAAGCAUGCAAUUGAUUGAUAUCGACAGCAGAGCAGUCACAGUUUGAAAUGACGCCGAAUUCGCUAGUGGCCGAAGUGAAAGCACAUCAAUGUAACGAUGCAGCCUUGGUAAAAAUAAUGGAAAGCAUUCCAUUUCAAAAGAAAGUUAUUGUUCGAGCUAUCCAGGGAUAGAGUCCUUAGACAAGACUGGUUUUGUGUGCCCGAUGUAAGGAAACUCCUAGAGCAGAUCAUGGCAUAGAUUUAUUGUCCCGGUAUUCUAUCCAUCCAAGGUCAAAUAAAAUGUACCAUGAUCUUUGAUAGCUAUACUCGUGGAACGACAUGAAGAGGGAUAUCAUUGAAUACGUCGCUCAGUGUCUAAAUUGUCGACAAGCUAAGGUUGAGCAUCAGAAACCGAGAGGGUUGCUGUAGAAUAUGGAAAUUUAGAUCUGGAAAUGGGAAGUGAUCAACAUGGAUUUUUUUACUAGGUUACCAUGAUCACGCCGAAAGUUUGACUCUAUAUGGGUUAUCGUGGAUCGACUCACCACCAGUUAAGACUACCUUCUCAAUUGAAUAUUAUGCUAAGAUAUACAUUAAGGAGAUAGUUCAACUUCAUGCGGUUUUGGUUUCCAUCAUAUCAGACAGUUUAUAUCUAACUUCUGGAGAUCAUUCCAAAAAUGGUUGGAACAAGGAUCAACCUUAGCACAGUUUUCCAUCCACAAAUUAAUGACCAAGCCGAGCGCACAUCCAAAUGCUUGAGGACAUGUUAUGGGCAUGUUUUCUAUAUUCAAGGGUGAUUGGGAGGGUCAUCUACUACUUAUCAAAUUUGCUUACAAUAACAGCUACCAUGCUAGUAGUAAAAUGGCACCAUAUGAGGCCUUAUAUGGGCAAAAAUGCAGAUCUCCUAUUGGCUGGUUCGAAGUGGGCGAAGCAAAGUUGUUAGGGCUUGAGCUGGUACAACAGGCUAUAGAGAAGUGAAGCUAAUUCAAAACCGAUUGUUGUCCGCCCAAAGUAGACAAAAAUCUUACUCGUAUAACCAUUAAAAGAGGCAAACUCAACCCCCGAUAUAUCAGACCAUAUCGAAUCAUACAGAAGGUCGAUCAUGUAGAUUAUAAGCUCAAGUUGCCCCCAAAAUUAGAACAGUACAUCCGGUAUUCCGUGUGUCUAUGCUCCAAAAGUGAUCCAUCACAUGUUACUCCUAUUGAAGAUAUCCAAGUUCCAGAAGACCUAUCUUAUGAAGAAAUUCCGGUGAGUACUUUGGAGGAACAAGACUAAGGAAGAAAUGAUGUCGAGUCCUCUAUGAGGCCGGGUAUGGAGUGAUGAAAAUUUUCCCCAAAGAGAGGCUAAAUAUAUGUAUGUAUGUGUGUGUAUAUAUAUAUAUAUAUAUACAUACACAUAUGUAUAUAUGUAUGAUGUUGUAUGUAUGUAUGUAUGUAUGUAUGUAUGUAUGUAUGUAUGUAUGUAUGUAUGUAUGUAUGUAUGUAUGUAUGUAUGUAUGUAUAGUAUCAGAUAAUGCAUGGCCCGAAUCAGAGGUAUGGUUUUGCAAAGGUUUGCAUGCAUUUAUGAUCCAUGGUCUAUAGUUUUCCACAUUAUGAUAUAUUCCCCCGAUGGCUUAUCUUUGGUAUUCAGGUUGGAAUCACCUACUCACAUUUCUUAUGCUAUAACUCUGAUUUAUUUGUGCUUCUUAGUUUUACAUACUCAGUACAUCAUUUGUACUAACGCCCAUUCCUUUUUGGGAACUGUGUUCAUGCCCACAUGUACAGAUAGACUCGGUGACACCCAUCCCUAGUAGGUGCAUGAUUCAAUAGUUGGUUGUUGCUCUCCACUUCUUCGGAGUAGCUGUCAGAGGUC
rnacentral:lncRNA from 1 species